GGAGUUGUAUAUUUCCCUAAAGGGUCAAAAAUAGAACAUUUAUUAAACGACGAGUUAUUCAAAAACCGGCACAGGCCCCAGUUGUCUUUCAAAAGCUCUGAUUUACUGCAUAUUUCUCCCUUGAGAAAGGCCUUUUUUAAAUGUUCAUUUCCAUUUUAAGAGACUGUGGGCUUUGAUCUGUUGGGAGCAUUCUUUUUCUUUCCCUGACUGGGGCCUGUCGGCUACUCAGGCCUGUGUUUUUCCAUGGCCUUCCCCAGCAUUCACACGGCAUCUCCUGCAUCUGCGUUCACCCUGGCUAAUUUGGAGGUCAGAACUGGUGAGUCCCUGUAGCAGGUGACACCAAGAACCAAUGAGCCAUAUUUGCUCUUCACACCUCAACAAAGAUGCUGCUUCCAGGAGUGAGUGUUUGUGUAAGUUUCAAAUCCAGCAACCUGAAGAUUCGCCUCCAAUGGCACAGGGCUGGACCGCACUCAGAGGUGGCUGCCACCCAAUCGUCACUCAGCGUUUUAUCGCUGGGCUAUUCUGUUCGAGUGCUAAGCAAUUGUUCACAGAAAUAAGAUAAUGGAAAGAGCAGAGACAGAAUGAGCAAUGGAGAGAGUCGGGCCUACCAUCGCGCUUACUGCUGUUCGUCACAGAUCUGCAAGAACUCUGAACUCAUAGAUUAUGUCCAAACUGAGAAGCACUGGACAGUCAUUUUGCUUAUCUGCGGUUUCUCAUUUCUGAGAAGAAUCUCCAUAUGGACAUUAUCACUUUUGUUAUAAUCUCGAGGAUGGUUAAGGUAGCUUUGAUCGCCACUUUCAUAUCUCCUGUGAUAAUCAGCACCAAUGGAAUGUGCAGAAAUCCAUCCCUAUUCCUAAGGACUCCUGAUGUCAUCUCACCAGGUGGGACGGUUUGUCCUGCUCGAGUCUGCACGCCCAGCUCCAACAGCUUCGCCCAAGUUUGGGGACAGGCUUCACCCAACACCCAGAAUCUGUGCAGUUAUUUGGCCCCUCAUUGAAAAGCCUCUCACGGUUACAGACAAAAUUAACUUGGUCAUCCCUGCAGCGCCGGAGGGAUACUUCUGGACUCUCUGUUUGGGGAGUGUACGCUCAAACCGUUUCAAGAAGAGAUUUAAACCUCUUCUUGGAGAAGACUGAGGCUGGCACAAGGCUAACAAAUCAAAUAACUGCACCGAGGCAAAGCUGCCGUCUCUCCCGGGCUGUACCCUGCCUGCUUCUCCCAUCCCUGCCUUCUGGCCGAUUUGUCUUUAAGGUUUUAGCAUUAUCCCUCUGUUGACAAAUGAAUGCUUUUCUGGAAGAUGAGGUAUUUCCAGAAGCAGGCAGACACUGGCUGGAGCGCCGUAAGAGCUCUGCCUCCCUCGAUUCGUUAUGUGAACGGGAGAGGCCUGGAGGUUUUGCGCGAGCAUUACGUUCAAGGUGAUGAUAAAUGGAGUCUGGCCGGGGUGGUAAUAAGGGAAUUUCUAGCCAGAUCCUGUCUAGACCACGGUUUGUUAUGGAGGGAAAGCCACAAAAGGGGGCUAUAGUACCCCGUUCCUCAGAGAAAUUGUCCUCAGGGAGAGCCAAGCACAUUUCCAGUCCGAACCUUCGUCCGGCCCCUCACUGGGGCCGCUGUAAAUAACAUUAGCCUGUCUUUCAGCAAGCUCUGGGAAGCUUAUAAACCGAACACGGUUUUUGUUGUCUGUAGUUGUGCAUUAAGCUCAGUACUGUCAAGUCUAAUUAUUCUCAUUAAGGCCUGAAAGUUUUAGGGAUUAAUUAAGCAGAGAGCCAAAGCUUAUGCAGAACAGCAAUAUUUUCCCCCUGAAGGAUUAGCCCGUCAUUCUGAUGGGGUUUUCCUUGAGCGUUGCCCAUUACUUUAUAAGAUAGCAAAGUGUGGAGCUCAUAUAAUAUGGAUUAGAAAUCGCCUACAUUUCACAUGUGCUAUUCAGCCAUGAAAAUAAGUCCUGGCCCUUGUGCCUGUAACCCGGAAGGCUCACUAAUGAGAACCAGGCAGUGGGGCUAAUGAGAAAUUCAAUACGUGCCGUCUCUCCUUCCCGUUUCCUUUCAAUUUACUUUCUACAGGAGCCAAUAUGUGUAGGAAAAGUCUGAGUGGAUGCUGGUAUUCUCCUCUUUACCUGGUAGGGAUCUUAGAAAUUAUCUGAUUCUAGUCCUUCUUGCUAUAGAAGUGAAAACUGGGAUUCAGCAACCUGCUUAAAGGGACCCAGUUAAUGGCAAAGCUACUUGAAGAGAAGGUGACAGGAAACUUCAGGAGGUGUAGACAAUCAUUAGGUACAUUAGGAUGGUGAGGGUACUUAGUCUUAGGUUUUGGUGUGAUGGAAAAUGCCGCAGAAAUGAGAAGGUCCCACAAUGAAAGGAGGAUGCUGGUGAGGACCUAAUUUGCAGACGAGCCCCAGGAACUCUGGUGCCCUGCUUGGCAAAGGAUUUCAAGGCUUCCUGGAGAAAUGGGGGUAGGGGGAGGGAUCGUUAAGCCCUGGCACCCCAGAUAUAAAAAGGAAAGUCAGACGUGGGUAAUCACCCUGUCUUCACCCAGCAGCUCCAGUUUUCAGCAAGGCAGAGGGGACACUUCUGCCUUCAGUCUCCCCUACUUCACAUCAAGGCGCCGUUGCAUUUGAUGGCUCGGGACGCGGCCUUCCUGCCUCCCACACUCCCAAAUCCAUGCCUUGUUUAUCUUUUUAGAAUGGAUCUCUGAUGCCUGCCCACCACGCGGCUGGAGUGGCGCCAGCAUCCCCAGGGCACGUCUGUGAUGACCGAUGAGGUCCACCACCUCUACCCCAGACCCUCCCAUACCCAAAGGCUCCCUCUGCCCAGUGAAGUCCCCUUCGCCCCAGCAUUCCUGCACCAGGCACAUCCCAAGGGUGGCCCCGUGUCCUGCAGGUGGCAGGAGAGUGCACCCUCCUCAGACACCAGUCUGAUAUGUCACCAGGAGAGAGCGGGCGGUCCUCAGUGUAUGCUCUUUUCUUGUCUCUGGGGAGCUUGUUUUGGCUCCUCAAGAAGACCUUGGAAAAAGCACAGGUUGUAGAGGCGGCAUUCGCCGGGCAGAACCAUGUCCCAAGACAACUGGUUAGUGAGGCCAGGCGUGACAAUCAUAAUCGGAGCAGCAACUGUGCAAUGGCAUAGGCAAAGGGGGCCGAAGGCGCAGCAGCCACCACCAUUAUAGUCAGACUGGGCACCGUUUCCUAAAUGUCACACAUCCUUCCAGCCCCUUGAUCUUUGCUUAUGAAAAGGGUCAUUCCCUCUACAAUCCUCUAGAACUCUUUGUAGGUUUUUGUUUGUUUUCCAAACACUGUACUUGCUUCUUUAUCUGUCUCUCUAUGAACCGUGAGUCCCAGAGGACCUCGUGGUCCUCAAUUAUCCUUGCUUCUCUGUGGCCUGUGCCAUGGGGCUGAAUGUUUGUAGCCCCCAGAAUCCAUAUGUGGAAGCCCUAAUCCCCACUGUGCUGGUAUUAGGAGGUGGGGCCUUUGGGAUGUGAUUAGGGUUAGAUGAGGGCAUGAGGGUGGGGCCCUCAUAAUGAGAUUAGUGACCUUAUCAAGAGGAUGAGACACUAGAUCCCUUGCUCCCUCUCUGCCUGCAAUCACCAGUGAAAGGCCAAGUGAGGACAUAAUAGAAGCCAUCCCUUCCCAGAACCCAGCCAUGCUGGCACCCUGAUCUCUAGCUUCUCAGCCUCCAGAACUGUGAGAAAUAAAUGUCUGUUGUCUACUCCA
rnacentral:lncRNA from 1 species